GUUAAGUCGACCGCCUGGGGAGUACGGCCGCAAGGUUAAAACUCAAAUGAAUUGACGGGGGCCCGCACAAGCGGUGGAGCAUGUGGUUUAAUUCGAUGCAACGCGAAGAACCUUACCUGGUCUUGACAUCCACGGAAGUUUUCAGAGAUGAGAAUGUGCCUUCGGGAACCGUGAGACAGGUGCUGCAUGGCUGUCGUCAGCUCGUGUUGUGAAAUGUUGGGUUAAGUCCCGCAACGAGCGCAACCCUUAUCCUUUGUUGCCAGCGGUCCGGCCGGGAACUCAAAGGAGACUGCCAGUGAUAAACUGGAGGAAGGUGGGGACGACGUCAAGUCAUCAUGGCCCUUACGACCAGGGCUACACACGUGCUACAAUGGCGCAUACAAAGAGAAGCGACCUCGCGAGAGCAAGCGGACCUCAUAAAGUGCGUCGUAGUCCGGAUUGGAGUCUGCAACUCGACUCCAUGAAGUCGGAAUCGCUAGUAAUCGUGGAUCAGAAUGCCACGGUGAAUACGUUCCCGGGCCUUGUACACACCGCCCGUCACACCAUGGGAGUGGGUUGCAAA
rnacentral:rRNA from 1 species